GGUCGACAAAUUUUACCUAGAAAACGGCCAGAUAAUAGCCGGUAAAACAAUUGUUAUCGUUCUCGAUAAAAUGGAUAAAAAAAAAAUGAGACUAGGUGUUUGUUUCCCCCACAAAUGUCUCCUGCUUCAUCGUUCCUUCUCUUCCAUCUUUGGAUCUUCAACUUCAUUUUUCUCUGAAUUUGCUGGUUGGAGGAAGAUCUUGCUCAUUUUUCUCUGAAUUCCUGGUUGGAGGAAGAUCCUUGUCGCUACUUUUUCUUUUCACUUCUCUCCCACUGCCUUUUUUACUUCUUCAGUUCAAUCACAAUCCGUGAGGAUCAAAAUCUGUUGUAGCAGAGGGAGAGGGAGAAUAAGAGAGGAUAUCGAAGAGAAGUCUGCAACGGAAACAGAGGAAGAUCGAUUAUUGCUCUGCCCUACUCAUUGGCGACUCUGCGGUUGGCAAAUCUCAGCAUCUUUCUCGCCUUAAUUUCGCAGGAAAGGAUAAAUUUGAGAGAGCAAACUGACCGUUGAAGAUCAUAUUCUUUGCUUUGGAUAGAUAAAAUCAAGUCUAGAUUUUUUCAAGGUCAUCCUUGAAACUUCUGAUUGUACUCUGCUGUCCGCCAUCAUCGUGUAUAACAGAACAAACAGAGUUUUCUGCCAAGUUUGCAGAAAACUUGAAACAGAGACGAGGUGCUCUUCCCUCUUGGGUCCGUAGGGUUUAAGACAUUUUCAAGAUAUGAAAGCUCGAUUUGGUAUUCCAUGACCCAUCCUAUUAAAUUGCCUUUGCCAUCUAGGAUCGUACAAGAAGAUGUUAGACAGAAUCAAAACCAAUCUGAUCUGGAAAUACUUUGAGGUAUUCAAAGAUGCACACCUGGUGUUUGAUAAAAUAGCUAAACCAACAGUUAUAGCAUGUACAAAAGGUUAUAAUAUGAGCAAUCAUAUUGAAAAUUUGUAUUUCA